GAAGCUUUAGCUUAAUUAAAGUCUCUGUUUUGCAUGCAGAAGAUGUGGGUUAAAUUCCUGUAAGUUUCA
rnacentral:tRNA from 1 species